UAUAGUUUCGUUCGUAGUUUCUUCGACCGCGACGUAAUUCUUCUGUCGCCGUGUAACUAAGUUUCUUAGUUACCGCGUCGCGAGAUUAAUACCGGGAGUGCCGUGUGCCUUUAGUGUCGCGCGACCAUAUAAGAGGAGUCGAUAUCGUCGAUUUUCGUUCGUGAACGUCGUCGCGUUGUGAGUGAGUGCGACAAUGGACCAAGGACCAACGGAGUAACGGAGGACGAUCGAGGAGAGGAGAACGGGGCCUGGGAGGCAUCGGGCGACGGCGGAGCGACCGUGGGAUCAACGCAGAAUUACAACUCCGCUGUUGCGCAUCGGCCGCUUAAUGCUAAGGUAGCACCGCCACGAUUUUCUCCGAAAUGGCACGGGAUACAAAAUUGUUAUUAGUGGUACAAAUUAGUACAAAAUGGGUACUAAAUAUUCUGAUAGGUCCGGUUUGAUUCUGCCAAUUUGGUCCUGCUAGCUUAGAAGAGGUGACUAAUUAUUGUCGCGUACAUCAAUAUAAUUAUUAUUUUAAUCUGUCGACGAUCGAUAAUCACGAUGACCGAGUAAAAGGGUGCGUUAUUAGACUUUAUAGCAAAAAUUACAUGAAUUAUUAAAGCAUUCCCGAUGCAUAACGUGCGUUUAAAUUCGCGCGUAGAAAAGAAUCGCAAGAUACACGUUAGA